CCGAGUUCAUGCCCGUACGGGUAGAUCUCCCACCCUAUGUUAUAUUACCUUUGUUGCUUUGGCAGGCCGUCAGGCCUCGGUCAGGCUACCGGCUCCAGCUGGUAAGCGCCUGCCAGAAGACAUUCAAACUCUGUAAUCAGUGUCGUCUGAGUAAAAAUUUAAUAAGUUA
rnacentral:misc_RNA from 1 species